rnacentral:rRNA from 1 species
GUUGUCCUACGGGGCGCAGCAGUGGGGGAUAUUGCACAAUGGGGGGAACCCUGAUGCAGCGACGCCGCGUGUGGGAUGACGGUCCUCUGGAUUGUAAACCACUGUCCCCAGGGACGAAAAUGACGGUACCUGGGGAGGAAGCUCCGGCUAACUACGUGCCAGCAGCCGCGGCAAUACGUAGGGAGCGAGCGUUGUCCGGAAUUACUGGGUGUAAAGGGAGCGUAGGCGGGGAUGCAAGUUGGGUGUCAAAACUACCGGCUCAACUGGGAGUCGCACUCAAAACUGCAGCUCUUGAAUGAAGUAGA